ACUUAAAUUGAAGAGUUUGAUCAUGGCUCAGAUUGAACGCUGGCGGCAGGCCUAACACAUGCAAGUCGAGCGGUAGCACAGAGAGCUUGCUCUCGGGUGACGAGCGGCGGACGGGUGAGUAAUGUCUGGGAAACUGCCUGAUGGAGGGGGAUAACUACUGGAAACGGUAGCUAAUACCGCAUAAUGUCGCAAGACCAAAGUGGGGGACCUUCGGGCCUCAUGCCAUCAGAUGUGCCCAGAUGGGAUUAGCUAGUAGGUGGGGUAACGGCUCACCUAGGCGACGAUCCCUAGCUGGUCUGAGAGGAUGACCAGCCACACUGGAACUGAGACACGGUCCAGACUCCUACGGGAGGCAGCAGUGGGGAAUAUUGCACAAUGGGCGCAAGCCUGAUGCAGCCAUGCCGCGUGUGUGAAGAAGGCCUUCGGGUUGUAAAGCACUUUCAGCGGGGAGGAAGGCGUUAAGGUUAAUAGCCUUGGCGAUUGACGUUACCCGCAGAAGAAGCACCGGCUAACUCCGUGCCAGCAGCCGCGGUAAUACGGAGGGUGCAAGCGUUAAUCGGAAUUACUGGGCGUAAAGCGCACGCAGGCGGUCUGUCAAGUCGGAUGUGAAAUCCCCGGGCUCAACCUGGGAACUGCAUUCGAAACUGGCAGGCUAGAGUCUUGUAGAGGGGGGUAGAAUUCCAGGUGUAGCGGUGAAAUGCGUAGAGAUCUGGAGGAAUACCGGUGGCGAAGGCGGCCCCCUGGACAAAGACUGACGCUCAGGUGCGAAAGCGUGGGGAGCAAACAGGAUUAGAUACCCUGGUAGUCCACGCCGUAAACGAUGUCGAUUUGGAGGUUGUGCCCUUGAGGCGUGGCUUCCGGAGCUAACGCGUUAAAUCGACCGCCUGGGGAGUACGGCCGCAAGGUUAAAACUCAAAUGAAUUGACGGGGGCCCGCACAAGCGGUGGAGCAUGUGGUUUAAUUCGAUGCAACGCGAAGAACCUUACCUGGUCUUGACAUCCACAGAACUUAGCAGAGAUGCUUUGGUGCCUUCGGGAACUGUGAGACAGGUGCUGCAUGGCUGUCGUCAGCUCGUGUUGUGAAAUGUUGGGUUAAGUCCCGCAACGAGCGCAACCCUUAUCCUUUGUUGCCAGCGGUCCGGCCGGGAACUCAAAGGAGACUGCCAGUGAUAAACUGGAGGAAGGUGGGGAUGACGUCAAGUCAUCAUGGCCCUUACGACCAGGGCUACACACGUGCUACAAUGGCAUAUACAAAGAGAAGCGACCUCGCGAGAGCAAGCGGACCUCAUAAAGUAUGUCGUAGUCCGGAUUGGAGUCUGCAACUCGACUCCAUGAAGUCGGAAUCGCUAGUAAUCGUAGAUCAGAAUGCUACGGUGAAUACGUUCCCGGGCCUUGUACACACCGCCCGUCACACCAUGGGAGUGGGUUGCAAAAGAAGUAGGUAGCUUAACCUUCGGGAGGGCGCUUACCACUUUGUGAUUCAUGACUGGGGUGAAGUCGUAACAAGGUAACCGUAGGGGAACCUGCGGUUGGAUCACCUCCUUACCUUAAAGAA
rnacentral:rRNA from 1 species